CAAGUGAAAAAAAAAAGAAAAGAAAAGAGAGAUGGAUAGAGGAGAGGGUGAGGGUGAGGGUAGGUGAGAGAAGGAGGGUCUCGAGAAGAGGCUAUCGGAUUUCCGAGGCUGCACUCGGCGGCCUCCCACGUUCUGGAGACGUAACUCAAGCUAACCUAGAAAGGAGGACUAGACGAAAAGCUCCCGUAGUCCGUGCCGGAGAGAGAAAGAGAGAAAGAUAGAUAGAUAGAUAGAUAGAGAGAGAGAGAAAGAAAGAAAGAGAGAGCGAGAGAGAGCGAGGAUACGACCUCGGCGGGCCGUCGGCCUGGCACACGGUGACCUCCCUCGAUCUAGGGCGCUGCAAGCGUGUUCUGACGUCAUAUUCGCUCGCUCGCUCGCUCGCAGUCGCUCGCAGUCGCUCGAGAGUCAACCUGGCGUUCGUGAUGUACGCUUUCUCGUAUGUCACCCCACCGAUGUAACACCACCACCACCACCACCACCACCACCACCACCACCACUACCACCCACAACCAUCAACAGCUGCGUUACUAUCGGCACGCCGUAAACCACCGUCGGUGUGCUCUUUAUACGUCUUGAUCAAAUAUGCAAAAGUUCGUCGGUAUUAGAGUAGGAGAAAAAAGAGAAGGAGAAGGAGGUGGAAGAAAAAGAAUAAGGAGAAAGAGAGAGAUAGAGAAAGAAAGAAAGAAAAAGAUAAAUAAGAAGAAGAAGAAGAAGAAGAAGAAGAUGCAGAAAAGAGAGGAAGCAGCUUUAGAAGGAAGGAAGAGCGAGAUGGAAGCAACCGGUUGACACAUAUAUGUGCCACGGUGAUUCCCCCACUAUCGAACCCCUUCCUCCCCCUCCUCCUAUCCUCCUCUGCAUUCUAUCUACCAACACCAUCGUACACACAACACUACCACUGGCAUACACAGCGUGCAAUACGGCUUGCUCGUCUUGUGCACCGGGGCGCAAUGCACUCUCGGCGAGGCCUUGCACCGGCCAGGGAUUCUCAAUUCGUUCGUAUACAUUUUCCCCUAGAAAUCCCGGAAAAAAAAAACUAUAUUCUUUUCCUCUCUUUUUUUUUUUUUAUUUCCCUUUUGUUUUUUCUUUUAUUGAUUUUUUUAUUAUUCUUUUUUUUUUUUUUUUAAUCCAUUUACAAAUUCAUUUCAGUAUCGUUUAUGGCAACGAUCGAUUACGAUUUAACGUGUUUCGAAUAGAAAAUAAUUUAAAAAAAAAAAAAAAAAAGAAAAGAAAAAGAAUAGAAUCGUCCGAUCAUUUUUUAUUUAUUUAUUUAUUUUUUUUUUUUUUUUCUUAUUAACCUCCUAAGUUUUGUUCUUUCUCGUUGUUAUUAUUAUUAUUAUUAUUGUUAUUGUUAGUAUUAUUCUUUUUUGGAAAUGAAAGCGAGCGAAUGAACACGUGGCAGAGGCAAAAAUUAACAGCGGCUAGCUCGUAGUUAACCAUGGCUGGCUGAACUUCUUCUAAACUUCAAAACUCUCACCGUCUUUGCGAGUUUCACAAGUCGACGACGUUUGGCGCGCUCUUUCUGCUUGGCGUGCCUUGGUAUGCAAAUUGUAGGCCCCGAACGCCGCUAAAUGCACCGCCUCUCUAGGUCGUAUAUCUAAAUUACGUUAUAUUGCCCGUAGGUAAGACAUAAAUCGAAUCUCUUGCGAAAUAUAACGAUGAGUAUCGAAGCGAUUGCUAUCGUCUAAAUACUCAUAGCCCGAUCGAUUCUUUAAUCGAACUUAGAAGAUCUCACUGAGAUAAUACUAACAAGAAAGGACGUACAUGCAUAAAUAUCUCCUUUAUUAAUUUAGCGAAAAUAAGGAAGGAUUAAAAAAAGAAAGACAGAGAGAGAGAGAGAGAAAGAGAGAGAGAGAAAAGAAAAUAAAAAGAAAAAGUUGUAUGUCGAAGCUCGAGGCCAUAAGAUUCCGAUCGGUCAAUAUCUUAUACGCUUUAUAACUACAUUUAAGACUCGUUUUAUCGGGAGGAAUUAAAAUAUCAAAAGGCAUCAUCUUUACCUCGAUGGAUAUAACUUGCAAUACUAAUUGCAUCUUAAUUACCGUCUCUACGAACGAUACGUUAUAACUACGGCCGUCUGGCGAAACGCUAUACGAUAUUAAUCUCGGAUGAAACGCGACAACCAUACAGUGGGAUUAGAAAGUGAGAUCUGAAAAUCUCAUAAAGCGACGUGACUAAUUUUCAUCUCGUUCAGUUUCUAUGUAUAAUAUAUAUAUCUUACGUAUAACGUAGCUCGGCGAUUACGUUUCUGCGACGACGACGACGACGACGACGACGACGACGACGACGACGAAGAAGAAGGAGAAGAAAAAGGAGGAGACUAGACGGUCGCUCACGUGGCAUGCGUUCGAUCGACUAUUAUGAAACGGCAAAUUCAAGUAGGAGCGGACGUCGAACUCUCUCGCUUCGUAGCUAUUACGAAAUCAGGAACUUUCGAGUUGGCGUCCACAUUUGCCGACGGCCAAGAUGAAUAUGUGUAUAAACGCCUCGCUCCCGAUUUCAAUACUGAUUCUUAGUUUGUUUUGAAGAUUUGACUUUGAAACAUUGUAUGUAUGUAUGUAUACGUACGUACGUACGAUAUGUGUAUAUAAAUAUUCGUCGUAAAUUAUUGAUUUUUCUCGUGUAGAGCGACAAUAACGGGAUGGGGUGGGGUGGGGGAACAUAACAGAAUUUCAUCGCUAAUAUAAACGUUGUAAAUUUUCAUUCAGUAUUCGAACGUAAGCGGACGUUAAAGCAACAGGUAUCUUAUCGAGAAUUAAUAAGUAAAUCGUAAAAGUUAAAACGCAUUUUCACCAGCCAAAACCCAUGAUUCUAUAUAAGAGAGAGAGAGAGAGAGAGAGAGUGUGUGUCCUGUCAUUUGGUACGUAUGUACUAGAAAGUAUCAAGGAUAUAGGCCGCCCACGAACGUGUUAGAGCCAACUCUUAACAUCGAGAGACACUUGAAAUCCCGUGAAAUUUAUUGGUGACUGAGCGUCGACUACUCCACGACAUCGUACGGUUCUCCUUGUUAUUGCUGCCACUUUAAUGUAUAAAGAAAGAGAGAGAGAGAGAGAGAGAAAGAGAGAGACGAAAUGCUAUCGUAAUGGAAAUUUUUGUGAUUACUCAUUUCACGUCAGAACAAUUCAUUCGAUAAUCGAUUUAAUAUGUUGCAAUUUUUUUCGUUUAAAACAGAAAAUUUCACUUUACUCUCUCUCUCUCUCUCUCUCUCUCUCUUUGUCUAAUAAAUUAUCGAUAUUUAUCGCGCAGAUAUGUUCCCUUAUAAAAAAAAAAAAAAAAAGAAAAAAGAUCGAAAUAAAAUGAAAAAGAGAGAGAGAGAGAGAGAGAUAGAUCGAUAUCCUAUGGCGAUACGAAUGAUACGAUGAAAGUGAAAGAAUUACAAAAUUAUCAGACGAUCAGAACGUUAAAACAAUUUAUUUCUCAUGUAAAUAUCUUAAUAUCACGAUAUAAUAAAACUUAUAUGCACUUACGACCGUGAAUAAUGUCUCGAGACGUAUAUUAAAUACUCUUGAAACUUUUAAAGUAAUUAAUUAACAAAUCGAUUCAUAUCAAUUUACGUUUCUUCAAUGAUCUUUUACGUAGCUAAGCCAUGAUAGAUAACCUAAUUUAAUUUUACUCAAUUAGAAUAUUAAAUGAUAGCAGAUUGUAUUUUAAAUUGAUAUUAAAUAGUUGUUAAAAUUA